rnacentral:rRNA from 1 species
UACGGGGGGGCAAGCGUUGUUCGGAAUUACUGGGCGUAAAGGGCUUGUAGGUGGCCAACUAAGUCAGACGUGAAAUCCCUCAGCUUAACUGGGGAACUGCGUCUGAUACUGGAUGGCUUGAGUUUGGGAGAGGGAUGCGGAAUUCCAGGUGUAGCGGUGAAAUGCGUAGAUAUCUGGAGGAACACCGGUGGCGAAGGCGGCACUCCGUGGAACCAACACUGACACUGA